rnacentral:rRNA from 1 species
GUGUCAGCAGCCGCGGUAAUACGUAGGGUGCAAGCGUUAAUCGGAAUUACUGGGCGUAAAGCGUGCGCAGGCGGUUUCGUAAGACAGGUGUGAAAUCCCCGGGCUUAACCUGGGAAUUGCAUUUGUGACUGCGAGGCUAGAGUGUGUCAGAGGGAGGUGGAAUUCCGCGUGUAGCAGUGAAAUGCGUAGAGAUGCGGAGGAACACCGAUGGCGAAGGCAGCCUCCUGGGAUAACACUGACGCUCAUGCACGAAAGCGUGGGGAGCAAACAGGAUUAGAUACCCUCGUAGUCC